UAGGCGGCUGCCUAAUACAUGCAAGUCGAGCGAAUGGAUUAAGAGCUUGCUCUUAUGAAGUUAGCGGCGGACGGGUGAGUAACACGUGGGUAACCUGCCCAUAAGACUGGGAUAACUCCGGGAAACCGGGGCUAAUACCGGAUAACAUUUUGAACCGCAUGGUUCGAAAUUGAAAGGCGGCUUCGGCUGUCACUUAUGGAUGGACCCGCGUCGCAUUAGCUAGUUGGUGAGGUAACGGCUCACCAAGGCAACGAUGCGUAGCCGACCUGAGAGGGUGAUCGGCCACACUGGGACUGAGACACGGCCCAGACUCCUACGGGAGGCAGCAGUAGGGAAUCUUCCGCAAUGGACGAAAGUCUGACGGAGCAACGCCGCGUGAGUGAUGAAGGCUUUCGGGUCGUAAAACUCUGUUGUUAGGGAAGAACAAGUGCUAGUUGAAUAAGCUGGCACCUUGACGGUACCUAACCAGAAAGCCACGGCUAACUACGUGCCAGCAGCCGCGGGUAAUACA
rnacentral:rRNA from 1 species